UACAGGGGGCUCGAGCGUUAGUCGGAAUCACUGGGCUUAAAGGGUGCGUAGGCGGUCCGCCAAGUGCUUUGUGAAAUCCCCGAGCUCAACUCGGGAACUGCAGGGCAAACUGGAGGACUUGAAGCAGGUUGGGGCUGGAAGAACAGUAGGUGGAGCGGUGAAAUGCGUAGAUAUCUACUGGAAUGCCGAUGGGGAAGCCGUCCAGCUGGGCCUGUCUUGACGCUGAGGCACGAAAGCGUGGGGAGCAAACAGG
rnacentral:rRNA from 1 species